rnacentral:rRNA from 1 species
UUCCCCCUGGACGAAGACUGACGCUCAGGUGCGAAAGCGUGGGGAGCAAACAGGAUUAGAUACCCUGGUAGUCCACGCCGUAAACGAUGUCGACUUGGAGGUUGUGCCCUUGAGGCGUGGCUUCCGGAGCUAACGCGUUAAGUCGACCGCCUGGGGAGUACGGCCGCAAGGUUAAAACUCAAAUGAAUUGACGGGGGCCCGCACAAGCGGUGGAGCAUGUGGUUUAAUUCGAUGCAACGCGAAGAACCUUACCUGGUCUUGACAUCCACGGAAGUUUUCAGAGAUGAGAAUGUGCCUUCGGGAACCGUGAGACAGGUGCUGCAUGGCUGUCGUCAGCUCGUGUUGUGAAAUGUUGGGUUAAGUCUGCUUCGUCGAUA